rnacentral:misc_RNA from 1 species
GUAGGUGAACCUGCGGAAGGAUCAUUAUUGAAUAAAUCUGGCGUAGGUUGUAGCUGGCUCUCCGGAGCAUGUGCACACCUCGUCACCUUUAUCUUUCCACCUGUGCACACACUGUAGUCCUGGAUACCUCUCGCUGAAAGGCGGAUGCGGAGGCUGCUGUUGCCUUUAAAAUGGCUCAGCUUCCUCUGAAUUUCCAGGUCUAUGCCCUUUUAAAACACCCCAAACGAAUGUUACAGAAUGUAAUCAUCGGGCCUUUGUGCCUAUAAACCUAAUACAACUUUCAACAACGGAUCUCUUGGCUCUC